rnacentral:rRNA from 1 species
AUACCGGACUCUAAGAGGCUCGGUAAUUGAAAUGAGUACAGUUUAAAACCCUUAACGAGGAUCUAUUGGAGGGCAAGUCUGGUGCCAGCAGCCGCGGUAAUUCCAGCUCCAAUAGCGUAUAUUAAAGUUGUUGCAGUUAAAAAGCUCGUAGUUGGAUCUCGGGUACUAGCAUGUGGUACGCUUUACUGCUGUUACUACAUGUCUGGUCCUAAUCAAUCGGUUGGCCGUUGAUGCCCUUCAUUGGGUGUUUUCGGUAGCCGGUACGUUUACUUUGAGAAAAUUAGAGUGCUUAAAGCAGGCUAUACGCCUGAAUAAUGUUGCAUGGAAUAAUAGGAUAGGACCUCGGUUUUAUUUUGUUGGUUUUGUAGAGCAUUGAGGUAAUGAUUAAUAGGGACAGACGGGGGCAUUCGUAUUGCGGUGUUAGAGGUGAAGUUCUUGGAUCGCCGCAAGACGAACAACUGCGAAAGCAUUUGCCAAGAAUGUUUUCAUUAAUCAAGAACGGAAGUUGGAGGUUCGAAGACGAUUAGAUACCGUCCUAGUUCCAACCAUAAACGAUGCCAACUAGCAAUUAGCUGCUGUUAAUUAAACGACACAGCUAGCGGCUUCCGGGAAACCAAAGUUUUUGGGUUCCGGGGGAAGUAUGGUUGCAAAGCUGAAACUUAAAGGAAUUGACGGAAGGGCACCACCAGGAGUGGAGCCUGCGGCUUAAUUUGACCCAACACGGGAAAUCUCACCCGGCCCGGACACUGUAAGGAUUGACAGAUUGAGAGCUCUUUCUUGAUUCGGUGGGUGGUGGUGCAUGGCCGUUCUUAGUUGGUGGAGCGAUUUGUCUGGUUAAUUCCGAUAACGAACGAGACUCUAGCCUGCUAAAUAGUACGCCGAUCUUUUGUCGGCGCGUACUUCUUAGAGGGACAAGUAGCGGUUAGCUACACGAAAUUGAGCAAUAACAGGUCUGUGAUGCCCUUAGAUGUUCGGGGCCGCACGCGCGCUACACUGAAGGGAUAAGCGUGUUUUUCCUGCUCUGAAAAGAGUGGGUAACCCGCUGAAACCCCUUCGUGAUUGGGAUCGGGGCUUGAAAUUAUUCUCCGUGAACGAGGAAUUCCCAGUAAGCGCGAGUCAUAAGCUCGCGUUGAUUACGUCCCUGCCCUUUGUACACACCGCCCGUCGCUACUACCGAUUGAAUGGUUUAGUGAGAUCCUCGGAUUGGUCCGGAAGUGACCGCAAGGUUGCCUCUAGGUUCUGAAAAGACG